AUACGUAGGGGGCGAGCGUUGUCCGGAAUGAUUGGGCGUAAAGGGCGCGUAGGCGGCCUGUUAAGUCUGGAGUGAAAGUCCUGUUUUCAAGAUGGGAAUUGCUUUGGAUACUGCUGGGCUUGAGUGCAGGAGAGGUUAUCGGAAUUCCCGGUGUAGCGGUGAAAUGCGUAGAGAUCGGGAGGAACACCAGUGGCGAAGGCGGGUAACUGGACUGCAACUGACGCUGAGGCGCGAAAGUGUGGGGAGCAAACAGGAUUAGAUACCCUGGUAGUCCACACUGUAAACGAUGAAUGCUAGGUGUAAGAGGUAUCGACCCCUUUUGUGCCGGAGUUAACACAAUAAGCAUUCCGCCUGGGGAGUACGGCCGCAAGGUUGAAACUCAAAUGAAUUGACGGGG
rnacentral:rRNA from 1 species